CCAAUAGCGUAUAUUAAAGUUGUUGCAGUUAAAAAGCUCGUAGUUGAACUUCGGGGUUCGCUCAUUGGUCAAGCUUAAUUGUUUGUACUGGUGAGAUGGAUCUCUACCUUCUGAGGAACUUUCAUGCCAUUUAUUUGGUGUGGGAGGAAAUCAGGACUGUUACUUUGAAAAAAUUAGAGUGUUUAAAGCAGGCUAACGUCUGAAUACAUUAGCAUGGAAUAAUGAAAUAGGACGGACUGAUUCUAUUUCGUUGGUUUCUAGGAUCACCGUAAUGAUUAAUAGGGAUAGUUGGGGGCAUUAGUAUUCAAUUGUCAGAGGUGAAAUUCUUGGAUUUAUUGAAGACUAACUACUGCGAAAGCAUUUGCCAAGGAUGUUUUCAUUAAUCAAGAACGAAAGUUAGGGGAUCGAAGACGAUCAGAUACCGUCGUAGUCUUAACCAUAAACUAUGCCGACUAGGGAUCGGACGAAGUUAAUUUAUAAUGACGCGUUCGGCACCUUACG
rnacentral:rRNA from 1 species